CAAUAGCGUAUAUUAAAGUUGUUGUGGUUAAAAAGCUCGUAGUUGAACCUUGGGCCUGGCCGUCCGGUCCGCCUCACCGCGUGUACUGGCUCGGCCGGGCCUUUCCCUCUGUGGAACCCCAUGCCCUUCACUGGGCGUGGCGGGGAAACAGGACUUUUACUGUGAAAAAAUUAGAGUGCUCCAGGCAGGCCUAUGCUCGAAUACAUUAGCAUGGAAUAAUAGAAUAGGACGUGUGGUUCUAUUUUGUUGGUUUCUAGGACCGCCGUAAUGAUUAAUAGGGACAGUCGGGGGCAUCAGUAUUCAAUUGUCAGAGGUGAAAUUCUUGGAUUUAUUGAAGACUAACUACUGCGAAAGCAUUUGCCAAGGAUGUUUUCAUUAA
rnacentral:rRNA from 1 species